rnacentral:rRNA from 1 species
ACGAACGCUGGCGGCGUGCUUAAUACAUGCAAGUCGCGCGUGAAAGUCCUUCGGGAUGAGUAAAGCGGCGCACGGGUGAGUAAUGCAUAGGAACGUACCUUUUGGUGGGGAAUAACCACGGGAAACUGUGGCUAAUACCGCGUAAAGACGUGAGUCUAAAGCAGCCCUCUGUUUACAAGGUUGCGCCAAUAGAGCGGCCUAUGUCCCAUUAGCUAGUUGGUAGGGUAAUGGCCUACCAAGGCGACGAUGGGUAGCUGGUCUGAGAGGAUGAUCAGCCACACUGGGACUGAGACACGGCCCAGACUCCUACGGGAGGCAGCAGUAGGGAAUUUUGCACAAUGGGCGCAAGCCUGAUGCAGCAACGCCGCGUGAGUGAAGAAGGCCCUUGGGUCGUAAAGCUCUUUCGGCCGGGAAGAAGGGUCCACCUGCGAACAGCUUGUGGAUCUGACGGUACCGGAAGAAGAAGCACCUGCUAACUUCGU